AUACGUAGGUGGCAAGCGUUGUCCGGAUUUACUGGGUGUAAAGGGUGCGUAGGCGGGGCAGCAAGUUGGAUGUGAAAUCCUCGGGCUCAACUCGAGAACUGCAUUCAAAACUGUUGCUCUUGAGUGCAGUAGAGGCAAGCGGAAUUCCCGGUGUAGCGGUGAAAUGCGCAGAGAUCGGGAGGAACACCAGUGGCGAAGGCGGCUUGCUGGGCUGUUACUGACGCUGAGGCACGAAAGCAUGGGUAGCAAACAGGAUUAGAUACCCUGGUAGUCCAUGCUGCAAACGAUGAUUACUAGGUGUGGGUGGACUGACCCCAUCCGUGCCGGAGUUAACACAUUAAGUAAUCCACCUGGGGAGUACGGCCGCAAGGUUGAAACUCAAAUGAAUUGACGGGG
rnacentral:rRNA from 1 species